ACCACUGUGAACACACCAUUGUAUUGUUGAACAGCUACACCUGGGAGGUUCUGCCCUUUUUACCUAACAGGCAGCCGCCAAUCCAAUCAGCAGCAGGAGCAGCACGGACGUGGAGAAAAAAAGAAAGCGAGCCAACACACGAGAGGGACGCCAGCAAAGCACCGGUUCGGCGUGAGGAGAUAGGAGGUCUCGAAGAUGGGACUAAGAGGACUUCAAGGGGAGAGCGAGCACACCAGAGAGUUGCCGGGAGGACACGAGGAGACCAGACCUGGUCUGAGAGGCUCCGACGGGCCACUACAGCGCGAGCACCGGCCGACCAUAGGGAAACCCAGAGCGUUACUACAAGACGUACCUGCCAAGCAGAGCAUAGCGCUCUCCCUGGCGGGUAUGUGGCCCUUUGGGCCAUAUCAACACUCUGGUGACUUUAGGGACGCUGACUAGGGGAAGCAGUCGAGGCACCCGCAGCACCUGGCACAGCGGCAGAGCUCCACCAGCACCCCUGAGCCGCCACUGUACCCAGUCUGGCUGUCACAAAAGACUCUCAAUUGCGAAUGGACUAUUUUAACGUGUGCAGUCUUCAUUUUAUAACUUGGUUUUGAAACCUUUUUAAGGUUUCAUUGUUCUUUGGGACCCUUUUUAUGGUAAUACUUGAUUGUGUAGUGCACCAGCAUCAAUGUUUCCGUCGUCUCCUUCAUCUGGUCAUUGUCAGUGUGCUCUCCCCCAAAAUUUGGCCAGAACCUGUCCCUUCUAAAAUAACCUGUUUCUAAGUCUGAUUAAUCCCACAUCUCAUUUACCCUCCCCCUUUUCAAAAACACAACAUGUCUGUUUGAAAAAUGAAAGUACUAUAGUACGUUUUCUGAAGGAUGCACUAACAGUGAUGUCUCCUCUCAAUUAGAAAUGUCAUUGGCAUGUGGCAAUGGGAUGCAUGCCAAAGGUAGUUGUAAAAAAUGACCAGCAGGUGUCCUACUAUGUGAAUGUUUUCAUUGAUAGGUUUGUUCUCUCAAAAAACUUUCCUUGACAUCCCAUCCAGAUAAUAUCAGUUACAAUCAGACUCCCACUCCACUGUAGCCCCCACAACUGUGAUCACAUGGCCCCUCUGGAUAACAGGCAAAACACACUCACUCUAAUUCUGCAGACUGGUUACCCUGAGUAAGAAAAAUUAUGAUUUAGCACAAUUAUGCCUAAAAAAUCAAUGACAUAGUGGCUGCCAGCCAUGACGUAGUGCCAAAAAAAACAGGCAUUUGCCUAGCACCAGCAGCAAUACAGUUGGUGUUGGAACAGUGACUGUACAGUUAUUUGGCUAUGUAUGAAUACUACUUAGUUAAUUUUAUUUAUUUAUUUAUCUUUUUCUUUUGCAUUACUUUAUAAUCCAUGCACGAGCAGAACAUUUCCAAAAUGAAUGAAUGGAUGUUAUUAUCAUUAUAGCUUCAUUAUGUUCUUACCAAGCGGUGCCACACAUGAUUUUGUUUUAUGAUAAUGACAAUAAAAAUGUUUUUUUCACAUCAAA